AUUGAACGCUGGCGGCAUGCCUUACACAUGCAAGUCGAACGGCAGCACGGGAGCAAUCCUGGUGGCGAGUGGCGAACGGGUGAGUAAUGUAUCGGAACGUACCUUUCAGUGGGGGAUAACGUAGCGAAAGUUACGCUAAUACCGCAUAUUCUGUGAGCAGGAAAGCAGGGGAUCGCAAGACCUUGCGCUGAUUGAGCGGCCGAUAUCAGAUUAGCUAGUUGGUGAGGUAAAGGCUCACCAAGGCGACGAUCUGUAGCGGGUCUGAGAGGAUGAUCCGCCACACUGGAACUGAGACACGGUCCAGACUCCUACGGGAGGCAGCAGUGGGGAAUUUUGGACAAUGGGCGGCAAGCCUGAUCCAGCCAUGCCGCGUGAGUGAAGAAGGCC
rnacentral:rRNA from 1 species